CUAUCGAUAAGAUCGGGAGCUUUGCAGCACUUUCACAGAAGUCUAAGUCCAGGUGCCAGUGAUUAGAUCGCGGAUGAAAAUGGAGUUUCAAAAGUCGUAUAAUUAUCCCAAAUUAAAUUUUGGUGCCGAAUGCACCAAUAGUUGCAUAUGCGACCGCAAGAGGGAAAAUGUUAUUGUUUGCAGCCGCUGCAAGCAGACAUUUGUGGGUCGCAUUUCGCAACGCUGCCCAAAACAUCCAGAAGUGACUUUUCUAAUGGACGCUCGUCAAUGCGCUUUCUGCGGAGCUCAUGCAAAUUUCUUGCAGGUCUCCGAGACUAGAAAAAUAUGAAGUUUCACGCAAGACAAAUGGUUUUCGUUGACGAAAACUGCAACGUUGCGUAGUACAUGUGUACACUUAUGGAAAUACAUAAACAUUAUGUAAAUGAACCAAUAAAUAAAUAAGCAAAGCUUUCUGUAAA